GUGGCGUUUUACAUAUAAACAAUACUGAAUAGAGUUGAAAGACUACGAAGGAGACUAUUAAUUAUUAAAACAAUUAAUAACAAAUGUGGCGUUUUACAUAUAAACAAUACUGAAUGAGUUGAAAGACUACGAAGGAGGCCUUACAAUUAAUAAAAAAUGAGGUAGACGAAGAAUCUACAAAUAUCAGGAAAGAAUGUCCGGACUCGUGAAAAGACAACAGAACUUACCACAAAUUAUUUUGAUAGCCAAAAAUGUUGUCACUCACCAAGCUUCUUGGAAAAAUUCUGGAUAUGAAAUUAAUUAAAAUUUAAUUUUUAAAAUAUUUUCUUCUGCAAACAUCUCGGAAAUAAUGUUAACAAUCACAAUAUGUAGGCCUAUUAAUUAUUGUAGGCUUUGUGUUUAUUAAUAUUGUGUUAUUACUACUAAUUUUUAUCUUAAUAACAGAGAAAAUAGCCUAUUUUUUGUAAAGAUUAUAGACAUGUAAGAUAAUAAUAUAUAUAAUUUUGAGGAUUAAAAUCAGGUAUAUUGAUUUUUUGCCGAAUGUACAUGUAAUAGAUGCAGUAUAUAUUAAAAUCAAUAAAUAAAUAUCAUAUGGAAUUAUGCA